rnacentral:misc_RNA from 1 species
GAUGAAGAACGUAGCGAAAUGCGAUAAGUAGUGUGAAUUGCAGAUUUCAGUGAAUCAUCGAAUCUUUGAACGCACAUUGCGCCCCCCAGUAUUCUGGCGGGCAUGCCUGUUCGAGCGUCAUUUCAACCAUCAAGCCCUGCUUGUGUUGGGGUCCUGCGGCUGCCCGCAGGCCCUGAAAACCAGUGGCGGGCUCGCUAGUCACACCGAGCGCAGUAGCACAUCUCGCUCAGGGCGUGCGGCGGGCUCCAGCCGUUAAAGCACCCACCUUUCGCAAGGUUGACCUCGGAUCAGGUAGGAAUACCCGCUGAACUUAAGCAUAUCAAUAGCGGAGGA